UGGAUAUUUUAAAUUACCGGUGACAAAAAAAAUGGAUAUUUUCACCUUCACAAACGGAACGAAACAGAAUUGAUUCAGUUUUACCAUUUACAGCGCACAAUUCGAUCCUUCGAUGGCAGUGACCAGGUUAGUUGGCCAAUGGUUGAGCAGAAUGCCAUGUGAUCUCUCUUUUUCUCCAAGGUGAUGGCUAUUGCUUGAUCAUCCUUAAUAACUUGCGCCACGUAAGGAGAUAACGAACAUGGGUGAGGCUUCGUUCAUGUUCGUUUGUAAAGGAAAUGAAGUUGUUCAAGUUUGUUUAUAUUUACCUAUACGCUAAAUGAACAUUUCACACAUGACACACGUGAAGUUGCGUGUGGAUACACACACAUAGAGAAGGGCAAAUUCAAUACAUAACUAAUUAUAAGGAGAGAAAUGUGAAAAUCGCAUAAUAUGCCUGUACGUAGUGCUAACCAAAUAUAACGUGAAAGAGAGGCUAGCAGGUGCAUAACCAAAUGAACAUAAUAAACAAACGUUCAUAAGUGUAAGCGAACACACAAGACAUGUUUUCAUAUUUGUUUGUCGAGUUAAAUUAACAAAAAAAUUAUUCCCCUUCUUGUACAUUUACUGAACGUUUGGUUCAUUUGCGUAAAUUUGACUGGUGCUCUAGAUAAACAAUUGCAUAAGAAAGUAACAAACUCUGAUGUGUUCUAGUAGAAAAGAUAAUUUUUUUUUUUGAACGGCCAACAAAUAUUAUUUAUUAAUCAAAGGGCCAACAACGUGUUAGCCCACACCAAGUUACAACCAACCAACUUUAAACAUGCCAAACUAGAUACAUUUUCUUGAUACAUCAAAAUUACACCACUCCUCCCAAGUUAUUUCUUUUAGUGCCGAGCGGCUACCAAUCCACAAGAAACCCAGUUGCUUGAUUUCGUACGUCAUCCGAUCAAGCUUCACUUGUUUGUCAUUGAAUACCAAGUCAUUCCUGCUUCGCCAAACUACCCAUAGUGCCACCUGCAUGAUUGCGUACACUAAUUUCCUCCAUUUUACACACCCCUGAACGUGUUUGUGCCAGUCUAGUAGAAAAGAUAAUUACUUUAGUUUUGAUUUAUGUUGACCAACUUUCAAACUUUUAAUUUAUGGUAAUAUCACCGGUCCCAAAUUAUGUAGGCAACCAUGAUAAUUAGUUGGAAUCAGAACUUUAACAAAAACUAAAUCAUUUUUACUUUCACUGUACCGGUAACAAUUUAGCGAUUAUAAAACUAUAAAAAAGAAAAGUUUAACCGGAUUGAGCAAAACAGAAAAUGAAAAGGAUAUGUAUGAAAAAAACAUAAACAAAACCAUUGAUGGUUUUAUUAACGGACCACAUUAAUUGAUUCAUGUGUAAUUAACGAAAACCGACAGAUACCAAGUACCCCACAAAUCUCUCAUAUCUGCAUAUAUGUAGCAACGUAUUGCUGUAAUGACAACUCCAAGUGUAUAUUAAUUACCAUUACCAAGUUAGUUUAAUUAGGUUUAAGUGGGAAUAGAAUAAUCAAUAAUAGUUAAGAUAUUGCAGGUCCCCAUGAAUAUGCCUUCUGGUUGAUUGUGUGUUUCUCAAUUAUUGGUGUUUUUGUUUUUUAAUAUUUGUUGCAUGCUGAAUUAAUUAUUUGUCUUUCAUAGACUUUAUUUAAUUUCAAGUAUGAUAGUGUACAAUUAUCCUAUAUGAGUCGAUAUAAAUAAUUUAAGGGGAUUUUAUGGGUGGUAAUAAUUGUGAGAAUUUAGAAAUAGCAAAUUUGAUUUUGUGUAGAAAGACAAAGAAGGACACGUGAGUAAGUAGGACCUUGUGUGUAUAGAUAAUUAGUUGUCAAAACCAAACACAGAAAGAAAGAAAGAUGAGAUAACAGCCCUUCAAUUAGGGAUCACAUGCAUUCACGGGCUAUACAGUUGAACCCCUUCUAUCUCUUUGUUUGUUAGCAACAUAAGGCCUCUAUCAUUUGAGCCUUAGCCUCUCACACAUUAUCAUUCCAUAUUAUAUUCAAUCCCUUUUCUGUCCAGAUAGUUUAUGAGCCUACGUGGUUCUGUUUCCCUGGGCUAAGGGAAAACUUAUUGACCGGUGCGUUUCUUACAAACCAACAAAACCGCGGUAAAUCAUUUGAAAAACCUAUUCGAACAAGAAUGCGUGUUGUAAAUAAUGUGAAUUUGAUCAUCUAAGGGAUCAACUUCUCGUAUUUGUAUUCCCGAGUAUUGUAUGCCAUUUCCAUCACCGUUGUCUUCACUUUUAGUUAACUCUAAAAAAUUAUCGUAAGCAUCAUGUAACAUCUGACCACUCAUACCAAUCAAAAUUAUUUAUUUUGUCUUAUACGAAUAGGUAAGGAUAUUAUGUUAAUUAUGUUAUGAAGUGUUUCAUUUUUAGUAUGAUGAUGUGUUUGUUACGUAGAGAGUGAGAGUGAAAUGUUGGUUUGAAUGUUUGAUUGAGUUGCAUAUUUAAUGGUUCCCGUGAGUGUGUUUUGGAUGUUGUUUAUUAUACAUCUAAUUCUAAUCAUAAAAAGCAGACGGUUGGUAGAAUAUUUUAGUCACUCAAUACAAGGGAUUUGCAACCCUCUCACCCAUGGUUUUCGUUAAUUUGUCUUUGUGUGCAAAUCCAACCCAACUAACUAAUCAUUUAGACGUCAUUAUGCUUUAAAUCCAGGAAUAUGCAGGUUGUUUCGACUUAGUUUACUUUAGGCUAAUGCGAAGUCAACAUCACCUAUGCGCCACCUCAUAUGGGGACUUUAAAGCCCAUUUCUUUAACAUCGUUUAAAGCCACCAUCAUCAUUAUUUAAAUUAAGUAUAUUAAUUUAAAUUCAAAUAACAUGAAC
rnacentral:lncRNA from 1 species